rnacentral:rRNA from 1 species
UACGGAGGGAGCUAGCGUUGUUCGGAAUUACUGGGCGUAAAGCGCGCGUAGGCGGCUUUGUAAGUUAGAGGUGAAAGCCCGGGGCUCAACUUCGGAACUGCCUUUAAGACUGCAUCGCUAGAAUCCGGGAGAGGUGAGUGGAAUUCCGAGUGUAGAGGUGAAAUUCGUAGAUAUUCGGAAGAACACCAGUGGCGAAGGCGGCUCACUGGACCGGUAUUGACGCUGAGGUGCGAAAGCGUGGGGAGCAAACAGG